AACGAACGCUGGCGGCAUGCCUAACACAUGCAAGUCGAACGAGACCUUCGGGUCUAGUGGCGCACGGGUGCGUAACGCGUGGGAAUCUACCCUUGGGUUCGGAAUAACAGUUAGAAAUGACUGCUAAUACCGGAUGAUGACGUAAGUCCAAAGAUUUAUCGCCCAAGGAUGAGCCCGCGUAAGAUUAGCUUGUUGGUGGGGUAAUGGCCUACCAAGGCGACGAUCUUUAGCUGGUCUGAGAGGAUGAUCAGCCACACUGGGACUGAGACACGGACCAGACUGCUACGGGAGGCAGCAGUGGGGAAUAUUGGACAAGGGGCGAAAGCCUGAUCCAGCAAUGCCGGGUGAGUGAUGAAGGCCUUAGGGUUGUAAAGCUCUUUUACCAGGGAUGAUAAUGACAGUACCUGGAGAAUAAGCGCCGGAUAACUCCGUGCCAGCAGCCGCCGUAA
rnacentral:rRNA from 1 species